GAUCCGGUUAAAAUUCCGGAAC
rnacentral:snRNA from 1 species